UCGCUGGUAGCUGAGUGGACAGAGCACGGGACUCGUAAUCCCGUGGCCCGGGUUCGAUUCCCGGCGCCGGCAAG